rnacentral:rRNA from 1 species
AACGAACGCUGGCGGCAGGCUUAACACAUGCAAGUCGAGCGCUCACUUCGGUGGGAGCGGCAGACGGGUGAGUAACGCGUGGGAACAUACCUAGUAGUACGGAAUAACGUUUGGAAACGAACGCUAAUACCGUAUACGCCCUUAGGGGGAAAGAUUUAUCGCUAUUAGAUUGGCCCGCGUUGGAUUAGUUUGUUGGUGGGGUAAUGGC